rnacentral:rRNA from 1 species
AUUGAACGCUGGCGGCAUGCCUUACACAUGCAAGUCGAACGGCAGCACGGGAGCAAUCCUGGUGGCGAGUGGCGAACGGGUGAGUAAUAUAUCGGAACGUGCCCAGUCGUGGGGGAUAACGUAGCGAAAGCUACGCUAAUACCGCAUACGAUCUAUGGAUGAAAGCGGGGGAUCGCAAGACCUUGCGCGAUUGGAGCGGCCGAUAUCAGAUUAGGUAGUUGGUGAGGUAAAGGCUCACCAAGCCGACGAUCUGUAGCUGGUCUGGGAGGACGACCAGCCACACUGGGACUGAGACACGGCCCAGACUCCUACGGGAGGCAGCAGUGGGGAAUUUUGGACAAUGGGCGCAAGCCUGAUCCAGCAAUGCCGCGUGCAGGAUGAAGGCCUUCGGGUUGUAAACUGCUUUUGUACGGAGCGAAAAGGCUUCCACUAAUACUGGGGGCUCAUGACGGUACCGUAAGAAUAAGCACCGGCUAACUACGUGCCAGCAGCCGCCGUAAGAC